rnacentral:rRNA from 1 species
GACGAACGCUGGCGGCGUGCCUAAUACAUGCAAGUCGAACGCAGUGGGGACGGGUGAGUAACACGUGGGUAACCUCCCAUCAGAGGGGAUAACACUUGGAAACAGGUGCUAAACCGAUACUGAUGGAUGGACCCGCGGUGCAUUAGCUAGUUGGUGAGGUCACGGCUCACCAAGGCCACGAUGCAUAGCCGCCCGGAGAGGGUGUGCGGGCACACGGUGACUGAGACGCGGCCCAGACUCCUACGGGAGUGAGAAGUAGGGAAUGUGCGGCCAUGGACGAAAGUCUGACGGAGCAACGCCGCGUGAGUGAAGAAGGUUUUCGGAUCGUAAAACUCGGUUGUUAGAGAAGCUGUAUCUAACCAGAAAGCCACGACUAACUACGUGCCAGCAGCCGCGGUAAUUC